rnacentral:lncRNA from 1 species
CGGCCGCUAGAGGGCGGCGUUUUGGCUAUAAAAGGGUGGCAGCAUCAGCAGCUGGGGAGAGUGAGGUGCGUGUGCGUGUGCGUGUGUGGAGCAGAAUAGUGGGAGCGCGUGAGCAAAGCACACUGCACCACACACUAAAAAAAGGGGUUUAUUUUAAGCGCGGCGCCACCAUUGCUGUCGCCUCCUCCCUCCGCCGCUUUCCAUCUUUUCGCUCCCACCCCCCUUCCCUUCCCUUUGCCUCUCUCUCUCUCUCUCUCUCUCUCUCUCUGGUGCUG